CUUGGCUUGUCUCUGACCAUUCUUUAACAUUAAAUUGGGCCAUUCUUAGGUCCGGUAAUACGUUAAUCUAUUUUGAAGUUACUCUGUUACUUAAGUCUGCGUGUUGGACCUCUAUCUGUCCUGACAGUCGGGAAGCAAAUAACAUGAUGCAAGGAGAAGGAACAUGCCUUGGAAAGUAAGGGAACAAAUCACCGAGAGGCACUGGGCACAUUAUAUGAAAAAGAGAUGUCGGUAAGUGUUAUAG